rnacentral:rRNA from 1 species
UACGUAGGGGCCUAGCGUUGUCCGGAAUUAUUGGGCGUAAAGAGCUCGUAGGCGGUUCGGCAAGUCGGACGUGAAAUCUCCACGCUUAACGUGGAGGGGCCAUUCGAAACUGCUGUGACUCGAGUCCGGUAGGGGAGUGUGGAAUUCCCGGUGUAGCGGUGAAAUGCGCAGAUAUCGGGAGGAACACCAGUAGCGAAGGCGGCACUCUGGGCCGGUACUGACGCUGAGGAGCGAAAGCGUGGGGAGCGAACAGG